rnacentral:rRNA from 1 species
UACGUAGGGGGCAAGCGUUGUCCGGAAUCAUUGGGCGUAAAGAGCGCGUAGGCGGCCCGGUAAGUCCGCUGUAAAAGUCCAGGGCUCAACCCUGGAAAGCCGGUGGAUACUGUCGGGCUAGAGUCCGGAAGAGGCGAGUGGAAUUCCUGGUGUAGCGGUGGAAUGCGCAGAUAUCAGGAGGAACACCGAUGGCGAAGGCAGCUCGCUGGGACGGUACUGACGCUAAGGCGCGAAAGCGUGGGGAGCGAACAGG